rnacentral:tRNA from 1 species
UCCCUGGUGCUCAGUGCUAAGAGUCUGUACUCCCAAUGCAGGGGGCCUGGGUUCAAUUCCUGGUCAGGGAA